CGGCGCCUUCGCUUUCAGCCGAGAUGGCCGGCAACGAGAAGCGACGCCUGCCGCCGGCCAGCGAGCCCGGCCGGUUGGCCGCCUCGAGCAACGGCGCCCCGGAGGCAGAGGCCGCCUUCCUGUUGCAGGCCGGCGUGAGCGACAUGGUCCGGGGCGCCUUGCUGAAACUGCUGGAGGCGCGGCCGGAGGAGCCCGUCGAGUUCCUGGCCGGCUACUUCGAGAGGCUGAUGCAGAGCGGCGCCGAAGGGAGGGCGGACGGCGGAGACCCGCCGAGGCCGCUUCACUGGCGCCUAGACCGGGCCCUCUGGUACCUGCGCCUGGCCCACCAUUCCCACAGUAGAACAGCCUUCAGCAACAAUGUCAGCAUGGCAUAUGAUUCCUUGAGUGCCUGCGGGAGACGGAAGAAGCCUGGGGUCAAUGGAAAACUCUACAGUGAGUUGCUGAAAAUGCUCUUCCGAGACAGAGGAGCUGCUGAAGAAAUCGUUGCACCAUUGCUUCAAAAGAUAACGUGCCGAGACCACGAGGCGGUGCCAUUUGAUGUCUUCCGCUACGGGGUGCUCACUUGCCUGGUCCUCCUUGAGUUUUUGGCCAAGGCGAGCGCUCUCUAUGAGGCACUGGAUAGUGGAUCCGGAGUGGCUGAUCAACGGGUCUGCUUGGCUGUGCUCAGCACUCUGGAGGAAGUGCUUCGCACCAGCGGUGUCUCCAGUCCAAUCCGUUACUUGGAGGCUGGGUCCAAGCUUGGGCCAGACUACUUAGCUCUGGCCAUGGACAGGGCACUGGCUGACAGAAAGCCCAGUGUGGCCAUGAAAAAAGAGGAGUUCCUCAAGAAAGCAUCCGCCAUUUUUGUCGCCAAAGUGAAACCUAUUGGCUGAAUUGCAAGCCAGGACAAGUGCCAGAUUGACCAAGGAUGAAGUUAUUUGGGAUGAAGUGAGAGAGGGCGCCUACUUUCUCUUUUCUGGAAUGGGACAGGCAGGAUAAAAAAUGGGGACGAGGGGUGUACGUUGCCUCUGGACUUAAGCAGAACUACAACUUUGUAAGCUGUGUCAAACGGCUGAAGUUCUCCGUACUGUAUCUGAUUCAGUAUAUUUUAUAGUGAAAUGUUGAGCUUGCUGAAGGAUAUUGAGAUUUUCCAGGAGUCAUGGGAGCUUUUGGGCAUACAUCUAUUUCAGAUUCCUGAGUUAUGCAGAUGCAUCGUCAUCAUUUCAGGGGAAUGUGUUGGUCUUCGCCUUUCCAAAGAGACAAACAUGAGAGGUUUUUCCAGGACUCCAGGUGCAGUGCACUCUCUCUUCACCUCAUUCUAUCCUGUGGAAUACUUUAAACAGUUUUAAUACUCCAGUGAGUGUCAAGUUUGUAUGGGCAUUCUUGAGGAGGACCUUGAAACGAGGCACAGCCAGCAGCCUUGACUAGACGGGAGAGAAAGCAGAAGUACAGUCAAACAAAAAGACAGUAGAUUACCCCCUGUGGGGCUGGGGGAAAGGAGGACAGCUAGACAUUUGCUGGAAGUGGUGGAGAGACAGCUGCUGUGAGCCAUAGUCCCUCUAAUCCCAAACAGCAUCAAGUGACAAGGUUUGGCACACGCUUGUGAGAAGAAUGAAAGGGAGGCACCAAGGCUGUCUGGAACAGAAAGCACCAAGUACCCGGAAGGCCUCACCACAGCUCCUACAGGAGAAGAUUGAUGAGGAUAGCUAUACUUCCCUGAAAUGCCACUUGCCAACUGCUCUUCCCCCAUGAAGUACAGCUGCGUAGGUGUGUUGGGUGCUUUACAGGGAGAAAAACUGUUCGUGGGUGAGAAGGUAACUAUGCGGGGGGGCUAUGUAAGGGGCAAGUGUCCCCUGCGCACAAGGCAUCCAUGGCCAAAAAGCCAGGGCAGUACAGCAGAGUGUCAGACUAAGGAAUUAGAAGGACCUGGAUUCGAGUCCCUGCUCGGCCUCAGAGCUCACAGGAUGACCUUUAGCCAGCUGCUCCUAACCUUCUGACUCACGUCACAGCAUUGCUGGGAGAAAAAACAGGAGGAAGAGGGAGGCCUGUAAGCCGCCCUGAGCCCAGUGAAGGAAAAGCAGGGUGAAAAUGUGCUCUGUAGGUGGAUUCUUCAGCUGACAAGUUGAUGUGGGAACAGUUCCCUUGAAGGCUGGAAGUUCCAGUAGACAGCAGAGGAGGAAAACCGUAAUGGAGCUGUCUUUUUUUUUUUGCUUGCAGUCUCCUCCGUUUUCCCCCUGAGCUCACUGCACUUAAAAAUUUCAAACCGUAGGCUGGUGCAACAUUAUAGGUGAUUGUAGAGUCGGCAGCCGCUCUGCAUCGCCGCCUUCUUUGCCAGGUACCCUUAGCACAUCAUCCACAGGGCACGAGGCGCCCAGUUAAGCGGUAAUUGCUUUAAAAUGCUUUGACCAGCUGCAAUUGCAGGAAGGGACUCCACUUAACUGGCAGGCAUGUAAUAGCGCUAAAUGAGGAACCUCAAACAGGUAAUUUAGACUGGGGUUCUACAGGUGGAAACCACAAGAACAGCUGUGUCAUUACCCGUGAAGGAUGGCUCCAUCUGUGCUUCUGUUCUCUCUCCCGGGCAAAGGCUCUGCAAUACAGUUGCUCAAUAAACUCUGUGGCCCAUUUUUUUCCCCAAGUUAAAAUUGG